UCAGUGAAAAGUCCUGCUCCGUGAAAAAUGCUUCAAGGAAGCAUCUUUAGGUUGGCAAGUAUGAGAAUCACUUGUAAGGUACCCCAGUGCUUCUUCCUAGGUUGAUGAUUGCAAUUAUUGGGGAAAAUCAUCAUGGAAACCAAUCGUAGCUGUGCAUCCCUAGAUAGGUUUUAUGUUUCUAACAGAGUUUGUGCCUUUGUAGCCUUCCUGUCGAAUUGCUACUUGUGGAUUAUUAUGCCUGAAGUCUGUAACAAACAGAGCUUCUAAAAAAACCCCAAAUAAUUUCAUCAAAGUAAUCCUUUUGUUUCUCUUCUCAAGGGAACACUGGGAUUUUCAAAUAUGAAAAUGAGCUCAAAAAUCUGGCCUCCCACUACAGUGCUAUUUUAAGCCUCUUGUGGAUUAAGUUUGUUUGGAAUUUUUUUGCUAUCCUGGAGAACCAGAGUAUGCUUGUUAAACUUGAGGCACAGUGGAAGAGAAGGGACAGUGUACUCAGAACUCUCUAGUAGAACCAAAAAUCUUAAAAGACAAGAGUUGGGGCUGGUAACCCUGAAAUGUGUCCCUGGAGUCUGCAGCUGGAGGCCAGCAGGAGAGCGGGUGGAGACUGAGUGGCACUGCCAGGGCCACGCUGUGCAGCUGCCGAGUACCCGCGGGGAGGCGUUCGAAGUCUAUGGGGCUGCCAGCACCUCGGGGUUUGUUCAGCUGCAGGAGCAGUAGGAGGAGGAAACCAAACAAGACCCACGGUCAGCUGCUCAGCACCAUUUUACUGGACUGCAUUACAAAGCUAACAGGGAAAUUCCCAUCUACUGUGUAUUCUAUAGAUAGAUUUAUUUUGUUGCAGGCACAUCCACAUCACAAGUUGCCACAAGAUGUAAACUGGCUGCCUAUACUGCCUACACUGUCUCUAGGAAAAAUCCAAAAAGAGAGCUAUGUAUCUUCUCUAGAGCUGAAAUUAUCUGAAGAUCUUACCUCCAGUCUUGCUGUGGGUAUUCUAUGAGUAGCAGAAAAUAAAAUAAACGACAUGCAUUACCCCUUGCUAAUGUGAAAAAAAAAAAAUUUAAAAGAAUAAAAUAGUUAGUAAUAUGAAGUAAUGGACUUCUAGCAGUUACAAUGUUUAAACUGUGUACUUUUCUGAUUCUACUAUUGCAGUGCUUAAUUACUGCCAUCUUUAAAUAAUUUUCUGGAAUUAGGUGCUAUACCUUACUGCAGUCCUACUUUUAACUGGUGUUUAGGCAAUACAUACAGUACCUCUCCCCUCUAAAAAUUUCACGUAAACUUUAUUUGCUAUUUCAAGUUAAUGUAAAAUUUAUUUUUCAGUUACUGUUAUUAGAAAUGGGAGCUAUCAUUAUUUAAUAUUUUGUUUUAAAGGAUGGGAAAGCCUCCUGGAGUUGAGGAUGUGGGAACACUGUCCUGGCUUCCACUGAGCUGAAUUGUUCUGCUUAUCACCCCAAACACUUGGGGGACGUUUUCCAUUAGAUAGGCAAGAGUACUUAAUCUCUUCAACCUUCCUUGCCGCCCUAAUUUACAUUACUUAAAGCUUUUAAACUUCUGUGUUUUUAAGGUUAACAAAAAAAGCUUAGGGAGGUUGGACUAGAUGACUCACUAUGGUCUCUUACAGUCUGACCCAUUCUGUGAUUCUGUGAAAGCUUAGUAGUGUCCCAGCUUUGUUAGAAUGAAAAAAAAUUGUUCAUGCUACUUUAAGAGAAGUGACUAUUCAAAUAAUAAUCAGACAGAUGAAAGAGAAGAAAAUUAAAUCCUCAGUGCUGCAGUUCUAGGUUACAAUCCUUUCUGAGACUCCAGAUGUACAGACCAUGUUUUACUUUCUGCAUUUGGAAGGUAGCUCAGAAUAUCAACUCUUAGAAUGGUGCCCUGGGCUACAUUUUCUUGGCUUGAAUAUAUGUAUAGAUCCAAUUAGCCUGACACACACAAAAAUUUCCCCAGUAAAAGUCUUAGGACUAAUACUACACAGUAACACAGCACUGACUUUGUAAAAGACACUGUGAAAAAGUUCAGAAACUCUUAGAAGUAAAAAGAAAACACCAAAGAGAUCUCUUAAGUGUAUGUUCUUAUUGGUACUAUUUUUUCUGUUUCCAGAUCCCAGAGUACAAAUAUCAAUUUCCUAAUGUUGCUUACCUUGGCUAUCAAUGCUCUGAACUAUGAGAAAGCACGAUGAAUUUUCUGGGGCAUUUUUCACGUCCUUUCUUACUCUCCCAUUCUGUUACAUAUUAGAACUGGAGAUUAACCUUCAUAGUUGGUAGAGGAUGAAUCAGACUUUCAGAGGCAAAAUCAAUCCGAUCAACCUGACUUGACCCUAAAGAAGGUAUUUAGGCAGUGAGUAAGUCAGAACCAAUGUAUCUUUUCAUGUGCAUGCUUGUGUGAUUAUUUUUUUAAAGAAGUUCCUUUUAACAAUAACACCACCUUCUCUAAUCUAACUUGCCUGAGCCUUUCCACUUAUUUUUUCAGCAGUCAGUUAAUUCUACUGUAAAAAUAAUGGCUUGUCCAGAAACACAAUCGGAGGAGAAUCUCUUGGCUGGACUGUACUUUUUCUGAAUGUUUAUGGAGGAAUAACUCUCUUCUUGAGGGUGCCUGUGAAGCUCACCUAGAGAUAGUUCCCUGUGAUUUCACCAGGAGCAGCAGCAGAAUGUUUCCCUUGAAAAGUACAGUAAGGUGUUUAAAUGAGAUAAUUUAAAUGUGCUAAUUGGGUUAAAAUUUUAUAGAGGACUUCUCAGGGCCAAAGAGACAUAGUCCAGUUCUAAAAAUACCUGAAACAGCAAAAAAAAACCCAACAAAAAAACCCUCAAAAACUUGUAGA